AAUUUAUUAGUUUAAAUAAAAACCUUACAUUUUCAAUGUAAAAAUAAAUUCAUAUUUUAUAAAUUA
rnacentral:tRNA from 1 species